CUAUCCCGCGUACUAUGCCUUCGAAGCCUCAAUCUGGCAAACGAUCAGAAAUGAUGCAAGCAAAUGCAUGAGCGGGCAGGAAGAGCCUGCGGUCCUCUGUUCUACCGCGUCAUGUGGAAGAAGACAAAAGGGGGGCAUCGCCACUGACUACAGAGAGCAGGGCGUCCAGUCUCCGUCUUGCAGGAGGAGCUGGGCCGGGCUGAAGGGAACAUUGGCCUCUUUCCUGUUGAUGGUACACAGCAGGCUCAUCCUCCAGAGAUGCCACCCGGGAGAGUCCAGCGGGGGCAGCUCUGAGGUUGCAGGCAUGGCCCAGCGUAUGGGCAAUGCAGGGAACCAGGAGCCUGGGGACUCAGGGGCCGCCUCAAGAUGUUUCAGUCCCUUCUGCUCCUGUUUCAAUGACCAGAGCAACUCACAGGGGAUGGCGGCUUUCCAGGAGGGGCUAAGAUGUACCAUAUUACCACGUGACCGGAAGGGAAAACCGUGAAAUAUGUGAACAGUGCUCGUGACGGUCCAUCUCCUUUCCUUCUUCUGGAUCCUUUCCUGGUUUCCGAAUUCUGCGCUUCUAAGAUGGAAGUCAGAAACUCACUGUGGUGGACAGGAUAAUACUCCACACAAAGAUGUCCACGUCUUAAUCCCCAGAACCCACAUAUUUGGGUUACUUACCCGACACAGGAUCAACAACCCCCUUUGGCCUAUGUGGUAAUGCCUCCGAGACUUUCACCAAGGUCAUGACUUCGGAUUUAGAGCAUGGCACCACGAGUUCACCAGAACUGGGCUGCCCCCACUGAUGAGUAUUUCAGUGUCUUUUGCUACGUGACACCCAGAGACAUACGGCAACGGCAUUUAUCCCGUGUUCACCGGCCUUCCCGGGGACUGGGUGUAAGAUGGCCAGGCCGAUCUGGGCUGCGCUCUGCUGGAGGUUCUGGUUCAGCCUGCGGGUCGGGCUCAGGUCCGGGUUUUGGGCUGGAGGGACGGCAGCUCCCGCAGGGACGCUCGGGUCACUGUGGAUCACCGGAGCACAGAAGCCAGCCCGAUGGCAGCCAGGCUCACUUUGUCUCUGCUCCUGUUAUGACAGCUGAUACCCCAUGGACUAGGGCAGGGCACGUGGUUAAGCUGAAGCCAGGGUGUGGCAAAGAGGGGGAUGCAGGGCUGGCACUGGGGGUGCCAAGAGUUGGUCCUAAUUCAACUGUCACAAUAGAGAAGGAAGUGUAGGCUCGGGGAAAUGCAGGAUAUUUUCCUGGAUCUCAUGGUGAGUCAGUCGUAUGGGUUGAGGCCACUUCUCUAUUCGUUACCCUACGUUGCCAGCACGGCCGGCUCAUGGAAACUUCCGGCAGGUAACCUUCUGUGCACUACCCCCUCAUCUUGCCCUGGCCUUGUCUUUCUGCUUCGGGAGGCUUGUCUGUUUCCAAACUGCACGUGUCACCAGCUCAGCUCUCCGUCCAUCCCUCUGGGGGAAUGCUCUUUCUCUCUCCGAUGAACUCCAUACCCCUGGCUCGGAUGACGUGUCUCUCUUGGGGCCUUUGUCUACUCCUCUGUAAAGAGAUAUAGUUGUCUGUCACAUGACGAGGGGUGGCAGCGGAAUCGCCUUGCUAGCAAUUUGCAGGCCAUUCGAGCCCCUCUUCUGUGGUGUGGCGCCCUGCUGGCCCUCAAGUGCCGGGGCGAUGGUGUGGCCAGGAACACGAGCCGUGUGUCAGGCACAUUCAGAGCAGGGGACUGUCUGUGAAGCAGGGGCCGGUCCUGCUCUGAAGACCCCGGACCGCCCAGGUCCGACACGGGGGUCGGGUGUCAUGGGGUGGCCCUGUAAGUGGAGGCUGGCGCGGGGCGGGGGGAUCUGGAGGGAUUGUGGGGACCGGGUGGCUGAAGGGUAUUCCUGCCACCAGAUGUAGUUCACUUGCAUAAGCGUUUCUUGAGCCCGGCAAUGUGCCAGCACACUCGGCCGGGAACUGAGCCCUUAGGACACAGGAGAGACAGCUCCUGCCCUCAGGAGGCUUCGGGGCUAGUAGGGGGAGCUGAGGACAUUAAAUGAACGGUUGCGUUCUUCAAACGUGGCUAGAACCAUGCAAACGAGAGAAGAGUUGUUUGAGUGUACUCUAACUUUUUUUUUUUUAAGUUUAUUUAUUUUGAGAGAGAGAGAGAGAGCAGGGGAGGGGCAGAGAGAGGGAGAAAGAGAGUCCCAAGCAGGCUCUGCAUUAUCAGUACAGAGCCCCAUGUGGGGCUCUAACUCAUGAGCCGUGAGAUCUUGACCUGAGCUGAAAUCAAGAGUCGGAUGCUCAACCGACUGAGCCCCCUGGACGCCCCAACAGCUGCAUUCUUCAAGCGUGGCAAGAACAGUGCAGACGAGGGCAAGGUUGUCGGGGGUACUCUAAACAGCUUUGGGGCUUGUCUGAAAGGGGUAAGCGAUUCUUUACCUGUCUUGCUGCAAAUAACAAAUCGCUGUGUUGCAUGGGAACUCUUAUCCCCUGCUCGUCGUGUUUCGUAGGGGGAAAGGGAAAUCCUACUUCCCAGGAGGGAAAGAUUUGGGAGGAGCACUGCUGGCACCUUCCUCCAUACCUACGACCCAUUCGUUCCUCCCCAGGAAGGAGAAGGGAUUCUGAUCCGAUUAGUGACUCUGGGGACCUGAGUGGUGUCCAGGGUUCCUGGUGUUGUAGGAUCUCUGAUGAGAACUGGAGCCUGUUUGAGACCUGAGGUUCAAGGAAGUGAGGGGACUUGGCCUCCUUUGUCCCCUGGGUGUGGCAGAGACCAGAGGCACGACCAUCGCUCUUGAGGCUGUGUCCGCACAAAGGGAAAGCCUGGUGGCGGGGUCCAGUUAGUGGCUGUGGUGAUGACCGUGGCAGAGGUGGGCAAGGAGCAGGCAGAGCGGGGAGGGGCUGAAUCAAGGCAAGGCCCCCGGGGUAAUGGAUGGGAAUUCCAGAACUAUCCAAUGGGAUGGAACCUAAGGGAGGAGGGGUAGGUGGUAGGCUCAGGUUCCCGGCUCUGGUGAACGGGUGGGGUGAUGCUCGCACCUGUUGCCUCGAGAGGGAGCCGCGAUCACUCAGGUUUGGACCUGAAGGAGUCAUGACCCUGGAUUUGGGUUCUCCUUGAGCGGCCAUGCAAACAUCUCACCAGGAGAUGCUAGAACACGAUUUACCAAGUGGGGGACCUUCGGUCUCCUGAAUCUCCUGGAUUCUCCUGAGUCCAGCCCGUCGGUGCUGUUUAACCGAUUUUAAAAGCUCCGCCUUAGCUGGAGAAAGCACAAAGUGAAAGAUUAUACGGGAAAACCUGGAUUUCGAUGUUUUCUUUAAAAAGAAAAAAGAAUCAGGAAUCCUCGGGCUCACCUUCUUCGAGAAAAAGCGUUCCUCAGUUUCCUCGAAACGUGUCACUGGCAGGGGCACUUUGCAGUUUACAAAGUGCACCGCUUGUCCUCGCAAAGCGUGCGGUGUGCCCCCCGUCCGCCCCAGCUCGUCUGUCCACACGCUUCUCAUCGCCCUCCCGCUGUGGGCAGCGGGGCAGGAGAAUCGGGGUCCCGGGGCUCUGAGCGGUUUCGGCUGAGCUCACAGCCGGGAGUGGGGGCCUGGCCCCCAGCUCCGGCCCCCCCCACCCCCAUUCUCAACUCUAGUCUUAGUUUCCUUUCCACUGCCUUCCAUUUGCCAGUCAGUUAUAAAUAGCUCAAAGAAGAUUUUAUUUCCAGCUUGCAAGUGACAUGUGCUGUCAGCAACACCACAAAACACUUCAUUGAUGUUUUUAAGGGGGUGGGGGAGAGGAAAUAAAAUUGCUUAUUUGCCCAAAGCGGUGUUCAGCGAACUGAAAUCCCUCGACUCCCAUGGGACUCUCUGCUUUUCCCGAGUGAAUGGAUUUUCAAAUUUGGAACACAGGUGGCCUUCAGGCUGAAUGGCCGCCGUCUGCCUCUCUGAUUAAUUCAGUCAAUGCCGCAGCCCGAGGAGGGUUAGAGGUUGGAUCUCCCCUCCCCAGCUCGGGCCGGGGAAAGCCAGGGGAACAGGCGUGGGGGUGGGGGAGGGGAGGCAGCUCCUAACAGCUUUGGGGGCCUUGUCUGAAGCCGGUAAGCAAUUGUUUUUCUAUCUCGCUGCUUGUCAGGGCGGAGACAGGAGGGAGAAGGCAUUUCUUCCCAACAGGAGAGGAAAUCACAGCCAAACGUUUGCAAUCACAGAGCCAAAGGCUUGUGUCAGACAUCGGGGUGAGACCGGGGUGCCUUUCAAUGAGAUCAUGGCCAGGAAUAGACAGGAGCAGUGGAAGGACGGCCGGGCGCAGGCCCAGAAGAGGGA